GCGGACGUGGUGGAACUGGCAGACACGCAGGACUUAGGAUCCUGUCCCGCAAGGGGUGAGGGUUCGACUCCCUCCGUCCGCA
rnacentral:tRNA from 3 species